GGGUUGUGAGGUUAAGCGACUAAGCGUACACGGUGGAUGCCCUGGCAGUCAGAGGCGAUGAAGGACGUGCUAAUCUGCGAUAAGCGUCGGUAAGGUGAUAUGAACCGUUAUAACCGGCGAUUUCCGAAUGGGGAAACCCAGUGUGAUUCGUCACACUAUCAUUAACUGAAUCCAUAGGUUAAUGAGGCGAACCGGGGGAACUGAAACAUCUAAGUACCCCGAGGAAAAGAAAUCAACCGAGAUUCCCCCAGUAGCGGCGAGCGAACGGGAGCAGCCCAGAGCCUGAAUCAGUGUGUGUGUUAGUGGAAGCGUCUGGAAAGGCGCGCGAUACAGGGUGACAGCCCCGUACACAAAAAUGCACAUACUGUGAGCUCGAUGAGUAGGGCGGGACACGUGGUAUCCUGUCUGAAUAUGGGGGACCAUCCUCCAAGGCUAAAUACUCCUGACUGACCGAUAGUGAACCAGUACCGUGAGGGAAAGGCGAAAAGAACCCCGGCGAGGGGAGUGAAAAAGAACCUGAAACCGUGUACGUACAAGCAGUGGGAGCCUCUUAAUGGGGUGACUGCGUACCUUUUGUAUAAUGGGUCAGCGACUUAUAUUCUGUAGCAAGGUUAACCGAAUAGGGGAGCCGAAGGGAAACCGAGUCUUAACUGGGCGUUAAGUUGCAGGGUAUAGACCCGAAACCCGGUGAUCUAGCCAUGGGCAGGUUGAAGUUGGGUAACACUAACUGGAGGACCGAACCGACUAAUGUUGAAAAAUUAGCGGAUGACUUGUGGCUGGGGGUGAAAGGCCAAUCAAACCGGGAGAUAGCUGGUUCUCCCCGAAAGCUAUUUAGGUAGCGCCUCGUGAAUUCAUCUCCGGGGGUAGAGCACUGUUUCGGCAAGGGGGUCAUCCCGACUUACCAACCCGAUGCAAACUGCGAAUACCGGAGAAUGUUAUCACGGGAGACACACGGCGGGUGCUAACGUCCGUCGUGAAGAGGGAAACAACCCAGACCGCCAGCUAAGGUCCCAAAGUCAUGGUUAAGUGGGAAACGAUGUGGGAAGGCCCAGACAGCCAGGAUGUUGGCUUAGAAGCAGCCAUCAUUUAAAGAAAGCGUAAUAGCUCACUGGUCGAGUCGGCCUGCGCGGAAGAUGUAACGGGGCUAAACCAUGCACCGAAGCUGCGGCAGCGACGCUUAUGCGUUGUUGGGUAGGGGAGCGUUCUGUAAGCCUGCGAAGGUGUGCUGUGAGGCAUGCUGGAGGUAUCAGAAGUGCGAAUGCUGACAUAAGUAACGAUAAAGCGGGUGAAAAGCCCGCUCGCCGGAAGACCAAGGGUUCCUGUCCAACGUUAAUCGGGGCAGGGUGAGUCGACCCCUAAGGCGAGGCCGAAAGGCGUAGUCGAUGGGAAACAGGUUAAUAUUCCUGUACUUGGUGUUACUGCGAAGGGGGGACGGAGAAGGCUAUGUUGGCCGGGCGACGGUUGUCCCGGUUUAAGCGUGUAGGCUGGUUUUCCAGGCAAAUCCGGAAAAUCAAGGCUGAGGCGUGAUGACGAGGCACUACGGUGCUGAAGCAACAAAUGCCCUGCUUCCAGGAAAAGCCUCUAAGCAUCAGGUAACAUCAAAUCGUACCCCAAACCGACACAGGUGGUCAGGUAGAGAAUACCAAGGCGCUUGAGAGAACUCGGGUGAAGGAACUAGGCAAAAUGGUGCCGUAACUUCGGGAGAAGGCACGCUGAUAUGUAGGUGAAGUCCCUUGCGGAUGGAGCUGAAAUCAGUCGAAGAUACCAGCUGGCUGCAACUGUUUAUUAAAAACACAGCACUGUGCAAACACGAAAGUGGACGUAUACGGUGUGACGCCUGCCCGGUGCCGGAAGGUUAAUUGAUGGGGUUAGCGGUAACGCGAAGCUCUUGAUCGAAGCCCCGGUAAACGGCGGCCGUAACUAUAACGGUCCUAAGGUAGCGAAAUUCCUUGUCGGGUAAGUUCCGACCUGCACGAAUGGCGUAAUGAUGGCCAGGCUGUCUCCACCCGAGACUCAGUGAAAUUGAACUCGCUGUGAAGAUGCAGUGUACCCGCGGCAAGACGGAAAGACCCCGUGAACCUUUACUAUAGCUUGACACUGAACAUUGAGCCUUGAUGUGUAGGAUAGGUGGGAGGCUUUGAAGUGUGGACGCCAGUCUGCAUGGAGCCGACCUUGAAAUACCACCCUUUAAUGUUUGAUGUUCUAACGUUGGCCCCUAAUCGGGGUUGCGGACAGUGUCUGGUGGGUAGUUUGACUGGGGCGGUCUCCUCCUAAAGAGUAACGGAGGAGCACGAAGGUUGGCUAAUCCUGGUCGGACAUCAGGAGGUUAGUGCAAUGGCAUAAGCCAGCUUGACUGCGAGCGUGACGGCGCGAGCAGGUGCGAAAGCAGGUCAUAGUGAUCCGGUGGUUCUGAAUGGAAGGGCCAUCGCUCAACGGAUAAAAGGUACUCCGGGGAUAACAGGCUGAUACCGCCCAAGAGUUCAUAUCGACGGCGGUGUUUGGCACCUCGAUGUCGGCUCAUCACAUCCUGGGGCUGAAGUAGGUCCCAAGGGUAUGGCUGUUCGCCAUUUAAAGUGGUACGCGAGCUGGGUUUAGAACGUCGUGAGACAGUUCGGUCCCUAUCUGCCGUGGGCGCUGGAGAACUGAGGGGGGCUGCUCCUAGUACGAGAGGACCGGAGUGGACGCAUCACUGGUGUUCGGGUUGUCAUGCCAAUGGCACUGCCCGGUAGCUAAAUGCGGAAGAGAUAAGUGCUGAAAGCAUCUAAGCACGAAACUUGCCCCGAGAUGAGUUCUCCCUGACUCCCUGAGAGUCCUGAAGGAACGUUGAAGACGACGACGUUGAUAGGCCGGGUGUGUAAGCGCAGCGAUGCGUUGAGCUAACCGGUACUAAUGAACCGUGAGGCUUAACCUUACAACGCCGAAGCUGUU
rnacentral:rRNA from 1 species